rnacentral:rRNA from 1 species
UAGGGAAUCUUCGGCAAUGGACGGAAGUCUGACCGAGCAACGCCGCGUGAGUGAAGAAGGUUUUCGGAUCGUAAAGCUCUGUUGUUAGAGAAGAACGUUGGUAGGAGCGGAAAAUCUACCAAGUGACGGUAACUAACCAGAAAGGGACGGCUAACUACGUGCCAGCAGCCGCGGUAAUACGUAGGUCCCGAGCGUUGUCCGGAUUUAUUGGGCGUAAAGCGAGCGCAGGCGGUUCUUUAAGUCUGAAGUUAAAGGCGGUGGCUUAACCAUUGUACGCUUUGGAAACUGGAGGACUUGAGUGCAGAAGGGGAGAGUGGAAUUCCAUUUGUAGCGGUGAAUUGCGUAGAUAUGUGGAGGAACACCGGUGGCGAAAGCGGCUCUCUGGUCUGUACCUGACGCGGAGGCUCGAAAGCGUGGGGAGCAAACAGG